rnacentral:rRNA from 1 species
AACGAACGCUGGCGGCAGGCUUAACACAUGCAAGUCGAACGCCCCGCAAGGGGAGUGGCAGACGGGUGAGUAACGCGUGGGAACGUGCCCUUCGCUUCGGAAUAGCCCCGGGAAACUGGGAGUAAUACCGAAUACGCCGUAUUGGGAAAGAUUUAUCGGCGAAGGAUCGGCCCGCGUUAGAUUAGCUAGUUGGCGGUGUAAUGGACCACCAAGGCUACGAUCUAUAGCUGGUCUGAGAGGAUGAUCAGCCACACUGGGACUGAGACACGGCCCAGACGCCUACGGGAGGCAGCAGUGGGGAAUCUUGGACAAUGGGCGCAAGCCUGAUCCAGCCAUGCCGCGUGAGUGAAGAAGGCCUUAGGGUUGUAAAACUCUUUCGCCGGAGAAGAUAAUGACGGUAUCCGGAGAAGAAGCCCCGGCUAACUUCGUGCCAGCCGCCGCCGUAAAAC